AUUGAACGCUGGCGGCAGGCCUACCACAUGCAAGUCGAGCGGAUGAGGAGAGCUUGCUCUUCGAUUCAGCGGCGGACGGGUGAGUAAUGCCUAGGAAUCUGCCUGGUAGUGGGGGACAACGUUUCGAAAGGGACGCUAAUACCGCAUACGUCCUACGGGAGAAAGCAGGGGACCUUCGGGCCUUGCGCUAUCAGAUGAGCCUAGGUCGGAUUAGCUAGUUGGUGAGGUAAUGGUUCACCAAGGCGACGAUCCGUAACUGGUCUGAGAGGAUGAUCAGUCACACUGGAACUGAGACACGGUCCAGACUCCUACGGGAGGCAGCAGUGGGGAAUAUUGGACAAUGGGCGAAAGCCUGAUCCAGCCAUGCCGCGUGUGUGAAGAAGGUCUUCGGAUUGUAAAGCACUUUAAGUUGGGAGGAAGGGCAGUAAGCUAAUACCUUCCUGUUUUGACGUUUCCGACAGAAUAAGCACCGGCUAACUCUGUGCCAGCAGCCGCGGUAAUACAGAGGGUGCAAGCGUUAAUCGGAAUUACUGGGCGUAAAGCGCGCGUAGGUGGUUUGUUAAGUUGGAUGUGAAAUCCCCGGGCUCAACCUGGGAACUGCAUCCAAAACUGGCAAGCUAGAGUAGGGCAGAGGGUGGUGGAAUUUCCUGUGUAGCGGUGAAAUGCGUAGAUAUAGGAAGGAACCCCAGUGGCGAAGGCGACCACCUGGGCUCAUACUGACACUGAGGUGCGAAAGCGUGGGGAGCAAACAGGAUUAGAUACCCUGGUAGUCCACGCCGUAAACGAUGUCAACUAGCCGUUGGAAUCCUUGAGAUUUUAGUGGCGCGGCUAACGCAUUAAGUUGACCGCCUGGGGAGUACGGCCGCAAGGUUAAAACUCAAAUGAAUUGACGGGGGCCCGCACAAGCGGUGGAGCAUGUGGUUUAAUUCGAAGACACGCGAAGAACCUUACCAGGCCUUGACAUGCAGAGAACUUUCCAGAGAUGGAUUGGUGCCUUUGGGAACUCUGACACAGGUGCUGCAUGCCUGUCGUCAGGUCGUGUCGUGAGAUGUUGGGUUAAGUCCGGUAACGAGCGCAACCCUUGUCCUUAGUUACCAGCACGUUAUGGUGGCCACUCUAAGGAGACUGCCGGUGACAAACCGGAGGAAGGUGGGGAUGAUGUCUAGUCAUCAUGGUGUUUACGCCCCCCCCCCCACACGUGUUACAUUGGUCGGUACAGAG
rnacentral:rRNA from 1 species